UUUGCACCUGAUAUAUUCCCAAAAUAUAUAACACGAAAGGUCUUAGAUCUGUCUCUCAGCCGUAACUGCAAAAAUUUUGAUCGCCACUCACCACUCCUUUUUUCUGGAUUGACUCGCACCCUUGUCAGUUCAGAAAUCCGAAGCAAUAACUGUCAAAUGGAAAGUACGAGUUGCUAGUUGUGAUGUCAGUUCAACAAGGCUUCCUGACCCAGUAAUUUGAGAGCUAGCUAUCGAUAUUGAAAGAUGAAGAAAUUUCUGAAGACAAAGUGAUCCAGUGACUGAUCCCAUUUUGCUUAAAAUUCUGAAGUAACCAACUACCCAAAUUCAUCAUCCUUGAGGACUUACAGGUGAGAUAACAGUAAGUUUUAUCAUGUAAUAUUGGUUACUGAUUGUGUUUCAAACUUCAGAAGAUAAGAAAGAAUACAUAGUUUUGCUAGGAAGUUGGAGCUAGGCACAAGUCAUGACUCUGCAAUAUGGUUUCCUUUCACUCCCUUGUAGUUCAUUAGGUAGCUGAUGAAUGUCCUCCAGGAGCUGUACUGUUCAUGCUCUUCGAAUAAUAAUUGAAUGGUUCCACCAGAUGUUGAGAGAUUCAUUGCACGGUAGUUAUGUUCACCUGUUGUAUAGCUGAACUCUUCUCCUUCGCCUUGUUCAUGGAAAAUUACAUCUGGAAGAAAGAGGUUAAAUAGUACAAUAAGAGAAAUGAGAUUAUAACAACAAUUUGUUGAAAUCAAUUGACAGUGCCUCACAAUUCUAGCACUUAACUCAUCUUUAAUACCCUCCCGCUCAAGUAAGUGGAGGUAACAUAGUUCUAUAUCUGUUCUUAUUUUUUAAAGUCUAUCAUCUAGAUCUUUUGAGUUUGUUUGUCUUUGUCAUAUCAUUGUACUGUGUUGGAAUGAGGCAAGUGACGAAAAUUAUCUAUCAUUAAAGUGCUCAUUAUUGUUUCUUCUCGAUCUUAGUAUGAAUUAUUUUUUUUUCUGUAUAACAUACAUUAAUAGAUUUCAUUUGAUACUCACAUUUUUCAGAGGUUGUGAAACGAUGCUUCUUGCCUAAUGUUAGUAUUAUAUUGUCAUGCUUGCUCUGCACAAAAACCAUCCUGGUAUGGAACUUUCCUGCAUGGAUGCACAAAUGAAUCUAUUUAAUUAUUUUCCCCAAGCUCCAUUCUGUUAUUGAAAAUGUAGUAUAGUGAGAUGAAAAAUCAGUUAUUGGUGACCUUGAUUGGCUGUACCUUUGGGUGUCCGAACAAGAAGUAUGGCAUGUUUCUGGCUGUUCAUGUCACCAUCCAAGGAAGAAUUGCUUAUUGUCCGCAUCUUAAGGCCGUCAACCCCUCUUAGGCCUGCAGCAGCAAGAAACACUUUUUGAUGCUAUUGUAGGAUGUUUUAACUGGAGAAAAUGAGUUGAUCUGGUUGUUGAUCUUACAUGCUGCUGCACUAGUAGUCAGUGUGAGCAAAUCUCCCAGUGCUCUAGUCUCCAAUCCCAUGUCGAAGACUGAUGAAACCUGUUCCCUGCUAGCUCCGGCAGAUUUCGCAGCCUCAGCACAUGAGGCUGCCACCAGUGCUGCAGCUGACGUAAUUGCUGCACGCAUGUUCAUAUCAGUAUCUUCUCUCCUGUCAGUCAUGACAAUGCCAUUCAGAUUGUUUGACCCAAAGGAGCAAUUUCCAAUAGUCCCUGCAACUACUGUAGAUAGCCGUGCAACUGAGAGGGCUGCAUGCAUCUGGGCAGUUCGGAGUCUUUUAUCCUCUCUGUUCCUUCCAUAUCCCUUCUGCAUCAUGUUCAUUAGCUUGCUUUUCAACCAUUCUGCCACUGGGCCCAUGAUCAUCUGGAGAACAUUAUAUGUGUCAAUGGCAAAAUAGAAAGCCCGCCUAUCUUUGAAAAGUUCUGUAUUUGCUUACACAGUUCGUGUGCCUAGUCUUGUAUUUCUGAAACUUCGUGUGGUGAACAUUUCCGCUCGAUAGUAGAGCCUGUUAGAGAAUCCAUCAGAUCAGGUCUACAAACAUCUACAAUAUGCUAAUCACCGGUAUUUGAUUUUACCCUAAUUUCAUCCACCCUUUGUUUGAUUUCUUCAUUGAGAUUGAGCAUGUUGUUCCCAGUGUCAUCCUUGCACAUAUUCCGUGUGCCAUUCCCAGAGAAUGCACUUAUACUCUAAGAAACACAGCAGUCACUUUAAGAUACUUAUCCCAUGAAAUAUAUUAGGCUACUGGACAAAUAUCAUAUCAAAUGAAUAAUUUAUAUUCCAUUUUUACAUGUCAAGUAUCUUGUUUUAGUAUAACGUGAUAGAGCAUCUCAUCCGCAUUCUAUGCAUGUUUGCAAAUCAGUAAAGCAAGCACUGUUAGGAUACACAAUGGGCCAUAAUAUAAUUAAUUCCAUGUUUGUCUAUUAUAGGAUAUAUUGCAAGCCUUUGGAUAUGUUUGGCAGUUCACCAUUUAUAGGCUAUGUCAUUUGAAUGAGCAUUAUUUAUUUAUUUUCUAAGGAAAACUCAUUUAGUUUCAAAAAUAGCUAAUUUUUUCUCGAUAUUUGUGCUUGGGUACGGAAAUUAUUUUCAUAUAUGCAAUCGUACACUGAAGUGUUGUAGUAUGCAAUAGUGUCUUGGAUGAAAUAUGUAAUUAAAUGUUUACUGAUACCAUGGAGCAUGACGAGGUAUCAUAUCAUGUGGGUGGGUUUACGUGAAAAUUGCACUCAUCUACUAUAUUUCAGUUUUCCAUAGAACAUGCAUGGUCCCUAUUGAGCACUAUUGGACCAUGUGUGCUUUUUGGUUGACCAUGAUGAAUUCUUUAUUUUAUAAGAGACAUAUAGGGGAUGCUUCCUGGCUUGAUAUACUUACAUUUACAGACAGCAGAUAAAAAAUUUCAGCAGAAGAUAAGCUUUGGGAUCUAGAAUGAAGCUUUGUAGUUUGUAGAUGGUUCUCUGUUUCCUCUGGUUCAGAAUAUUCUGAAUCUUUUGGGAUUUUUCUGUACAGUUCCAGGCCUCUUUGCUCAUUCAACUUCUGUUGCCAUCCUUCCUGCCAUGAAUCAUGAUAUGUUACAUUAAUUUAGAUGCCUAUAUCAUUCCUAAUUGGUUAACUUUUUUUAACAACCAAAUUUGAACUGAAGUUCCUUACAAUCUGUCAUAGAUGUGGCAAAAGUGGAUAUUCUAAAUGGCGAGAACAAAACACAAAUUGCUCACCUUAGGAUCGACCCUUGAGACACCAAUCUGAGAUAAAGUUCGUCCAAAUUUUACCAUUUGCCCCAUUUGCUGAUGACUGUAGUUUCCUGUGAACGUGGAAAUCUGAAAGUAGCUCAAAUUUAGCUCUUAUAUAAGAACAGACAUUUUUUAGAAUCACGAAGCCAGCUUCUGGAAAUCUAUAAAUGCAAAUAUUUGUGUCUAUGAUGCAUUUCAUAUUACAAGAAGUUGCCAUUGUCUUGUUACUAUGGAAUGCUGAAAAUAUUAAGCAAUGGAGUAAAGAACCUCAAUUUAAUUCUAUCUUUGUGAUAGAGUUGAAUCUUAAAUAAUCAAGGAAAUGCUUGCAUAUAUGCUAGAUUUCAGUUUGGGUGUUAUUUCACAAAACAAGGAGCCCCACAGGACCUCGUGGAGAUGCUUAUCCAAUAUAAAUGAAAAACGGUGUUCUAUGAUUGACUAAAAAACAUCAAUGUUGAAAGAAGCAACAUAAGAAACUGAAAUGUCUUCAAAUAAGCUUUGACAUGGCUAGUAAUCAGUGCUAUGCUUACUCAAAAGGGAAGGGUAUUCUUACUCAAAAGGGUAGGCCUGGGUGUGAUGAAUCCUCUUAGCUGCUGAUGACUUCUUGAUGCCCUUAUAUAUGUUCUAUUUAUAGAGGUUAUCUUUAAAGAAUCACAAGAUGUGGUUGGAACUUUAGAAUGGUUUCCACUUUUUCCGAUGGACUGUCAGCGGAUUCUCCAGCAGUGUGCCUUCAUCGGAGUUAGCAACCAUCUGUGGACUUGACAUACCAGUUGUUUCAGUCCUCGGAUAUUGGAGUUCAAAUGACCCAGUGGGAGCAUGAUGAGGUUCGAGGACUGGUGGCACCUUGUAACCGGGUAUGUUUCCUUCUUCCUCGUGAUGUAACUGGAGUUCAACAUUUGCAUUUCCAUACUUCCAUCCAUCUU